UGGUGGAUGUGUGCAAGUGAAUAUCUUAAUUUAACCACAUGAAAAGCUCCUAAGGGUCUACACAGCUCGAUCAAACUCAAUGUGAAUAUAGUAAAAGAUGUUAUAGCAAGUAUGGCUGUGGUAGGAAGUUUGUUAUGCUAGGAACUCGUCAUGUGAUUUGUAAGUUUUCAAAAUAAAUCUCCAGAACUUAGUGUAGUAGGAACAAGAUAAACAGUAGCUCAAACUUUAUAUCAUGC
rnacentral:lncRNA from 1 species